rnacentral:rRNA from 1 species
GAACACCUGCGGCGAAGGCGGGUUGCUGGGCCGACACUGACACUGANGCGCNAAAGCUANGGGAGCGAACGGGAUUAGAUACCCCGGUAGUCCUGGCCUUAAACGAUGAAUGCUUGGUGUCUGGGGUUAUAAAGUCCCCGGGUGCCGUCGCUAACNCUUUNAGCAUUCCGCCUGGGGAGUACGGUCUCAAGACUGAAACUCAAAGG